rnacentral:snoRNA from 1 species
GGCACGUGAUGUCUGUUCUCACGAUGGUCUUCAGAUGUCCACCAUGGACACUGCUGAGAAAGCCAAUUGGCAAAGCUGAUGCCAGCCA